CAGGCCUAACACAUGCAAGUCGAGCGCCCCGCAAGGGGAGCGGCAGACGGGUGAGUAACGCGUGGGAACGUGCCCUUUGCUCCGGAAUAGCCCUGGGAAACUGGGGGUAAUACCGGAUGUGCCCUGAGGGGGAAAGGUUUAUCCGGCAAGGGAUCGGCCCGCGUCCGAUUAGGUAGUUGGUGGGGUAAUGGCCCACCAAGCCUUCGAUCGGUAGCUGGUUUGAGAGGAUGAUCAGCAACACUGGGACUGAGACACGGCCCAGACUCCUACGGGAGGCAGCAGUGGGGAAUCUUAGACAAUGGGGGCAACCCUGAUCUAGCCAUGCCGCGUGGAUGAUGAAGGCCUUAGGGUCGUAAAGUCCUUUCGCCGGGGAAGAUAAUGACGGUACCCGGUAAAGAAGCCCCGGCUAACUCCGUGCCAGCAGCCGCGGUAAU
rnacentral:rRNA from 1 species